GCGGAGGGUUGGAUGGCUGAGGUGUGGGGCAACUUGCAUCUAGGAAAGUCCGGACUCCAUCAAGGCACGGUGCCGGGUAACGCCCGGGCAGGGCAACCUGACGGAUAGCGCCACAGAGAACAGACCGCCUUGCCGUGACAGAGGUUCGCCUUUGGCGCAGCAAGGUAAGGGUGAAACGGUGGGGUAAGAGCCCACCGCAGCGGUGGUAACAUCGCUGGCAUGGCAAGCCCUACCGGGAGCAAUGCCAAAUAGGGGCCGCGCGUGCAGGGUAACUUGCGCAGGAUCGUCUUGAUCCGAGCAGGUCCGGGUUGGCAGCUAGAGGGCACGUGGCAACACGCGCUUGAGAUGAAUGGUCAUCGAAUUUGGGGCUACGGCCCCAAAGGAACAAAAUCCGGCUUAUAGAUCCUCCGCGUAU
rnacentral:RNase_P_RNA from 2 species